GACAAUUUACAUCCCUGGACAUGAAACCUGCAAGCACUUCAAUCUUGCCUUUCUGACCAGCUCAAGAUGUAGGCAGUUGUCGGAAGAACUGAAUGAGGCUGGAGGCCCCGGGACCCCAUGACUCACGUAACUAAGACUCUGAGGCCAUGCCCUGUUUUCCAGAAUCCACAUUCAAAAUAUGGGAUGAGGUAGAAAUGAAGGGAAUGAUCAACGGUGUGUGUGAAGUUCUACCGCCGUGCUGUCGAAUCUUAUCUCCUACUUAAAAAAACAAUAAUACUAGGCACCGUUUCUAUGACACUGCUGGAGGGCUCAUUUUUGUCGAAAUUAUAGCCCCAGAGCUGAUGGAUGCUGGCCUGUUUGCAGAUGUGGAGAACGGAAUGAAAUCGCACAGAUAAGAAUGCAGUUUUGAAUGUCAGGAAGAUGUUAAAUCUUACCAGUGGCAUUCACUCCAGAGAGGCAUUCAGAGAGCCUUGAACUUCUCUGAAGACAACCCUUGCUUUAAUGUCUCUUAGUGGUUGGGGUACAAGGGUGCACUUCUUUACGUGCUUUGUCAACUGUGAAGCCCCUAAAAGUAUGUCCGUGAAGUAACACAUCAAGGUGACCAGAGACUUACGUGCCUGACCAUGGGUGUUUCGAAGUUUGGUUUUAAAAGCUGUGUAGUGGCUACUCCUGUUUAUGAACCUAUAUCUGUUGUAGAGACCAAGGCUGACCAAAGGGCUACUCCUGAAACCGAGAAUAUGGCAAGUGAGUGUUUGUGUGCAAAGUCCACAGUAAUGCCUUUGGGGAACAGUGUUCUUCCGAGAUGAUGGGCUCUGAGCUCCUGGCCUUAGGAAUUACUAUAGAUGUGCUUCUGGAAGUCAUCAGCCCAUUUUCUGCUGUCCUGUGAAAGGCAGACUGGCAAACAGACUGAAAGCUGACCGUGGUCUGGAAGAACAUGGCGCUAGGAACAGCACCCCUCGUGGGGACUGCGUCCGUCUAUACCGAAGGCACUGCUGCUUUGGGGGGUGAUGCUGGGAGUCUGGAGUUCUCCAGUAGCUGCUCUAUAGUGGAAUCUGACAUCUUCCUGGGAGGAAGAACAAGACCAGUAUGACUUGACUCCAUUUUCAUACCGGAACAGAAGACUCAGAUGGUUGAAGUGACCAACAUGACAGAGGCUCACCACAGUUGAGUGGGAAUUCAGCAUUCUUCCUUCCUUUUAUUAGCCAUGUUAUUACCAUUGUGAAGUAAAGGGAUUGGUGGGUAUUUGUUUCUCA